UGCUGUGGUGCCUGCCUGUAAUUCCAGCACUUGUGAGGCUGAGGCAGGGGGAUUUUGAGUGCAAGGCCAACCUGGAUUACCUAGUGAGACCCUGUCUAAUAAAAGACAAAAAAGAAGCAAAAAGAACUUCGGAGGUGAUGAUUCCAUAGAUUCGAGGUGUGUUAAGGUUUGCAGUUGCUGUGAAAAUACCUGAGGUAGGAAUGAUUUAUUUUGGCUCCUUUCAGAAGUUUUGGGUCAUAGUCUCUUGGCUCUGUCGUUUUUGGGUCGGUGGGGAGCACCUGGGAGAGUAGAGCUGGUCACCUCAAGGCAGCCGGGAAGUACAGAGCAGAACCAGAGGAAGAGGCGGGGCCAGAUGCAGUCCCCGAGGUCACACCCCGACCCACUGCCUGCAGUUAGGCCUCAUCUUCCGGUACUGCCGCCAGUUGUGACCUCGUGAUCCAGACAGUCACCUCCGCAAAGUCCAUCAGCAACCAGGCCUUCAACACAAUGAGCCUUUUGGGAGACGCUUUGGAUCCCACCUGUGACACAGGUGACAGGGGUUCUCGUGAUGCCUUGACUUUGCACUUCUGGUCACCAGUUUUAAGCAAGUGGUUAAGAGCAAAGCCUCCAGAUUAGGCCUGGAGUCAACGUCAGACCUGCUCCAUGCUGCGUGGGAAUGCCAGUAGCUUUUGCCUGCUGGGCAACUGUUCCUGUCCUCUUAGAAAGACAUCUUGAUUUUCAUUUACAGGAUAUGGUUGAUUAAUUUUUAAAAUGGCCCCACACCUUCAAGCUUCCCUGUAUCCGUGUCCCUUUGCAGUGUGACUUUAUAGCCCCUCCCGGCGGGAAAUGGGCUGUCCAUCCCUGCCCCCAAACCUGGGCUGCCGGGGACUGGCUUGGACCACACAGUGCCACGAGUGACUGCUUAUUCUCACAGGGCUCUGUGCUCUUCUGCUCCCACUCCGGGGCCUGUGAGUACCAUGAGUGAGCCCAGGCCAGCCUGCUGGGGGAAGAAAGCUCACACAGGGCAGAGCACAAGUUCCUCUGCCUAGAAACCUGAGAAAGGCCAACUGCAGGGGACUCUGGAUUGCACGCCAGGGCCCAGCAGGCACCAGAAGAACUUUCUACCCAUGUCCAGCCAAAAUUCCCA
rnacentral:lncRNA from 1 species